UAACAAGGAUUCCCCUAGUAGCGGCGAGCGAAGCGGGAAAAGCUCAAAUUUGUAAUCUGGCGUCUACGACGUCCGAGUUGUAAUCUCGAGAAGUGUUUUCCGUGAUAGACCGCAUACAAGUCUCUUGGAACAGAGCGUCAUAGUGGUGAGAACCCAGUACACGAUGCGGAUGCCUAUUACUUUGUGAUACACUUUCGAAGAGUCGAGUUGUUUGGGAAUGCAGCUCAAAUUGGGUGGUAAAUUCCACCUAAAGCUAAAUAUUGGCGAGAGACCGAUAGCGAACAAGUACCGUGAGGGAAAGAUGAAAAGCACUUUGGAAAGAGAGUUAACAGUACGUGAAAUUGUUGGAAGGGAAACACAUGCAGCCAGACUUGCUAUUCGGGGCAACUCGAUUGGCAGGCCCGCAUCAGUUUUUCGGGGCGGAAAAGCAUAGAGAGAAGGUAGCAAUUUCGGUUGUGUUAUAGCUCUUUAUUGGAUUCGCCCUGGGGGACUGAGGAACGCAGCGUGCUUUUAGCAUAACCUUCGGGUUAUCCACGCUUAGGAUGCGGGUGUAAUGGCUGUAUAU
rnacentral:rRNA from 1 species